UUUAUAUGAGAGUUUGAUCCUGGCUCAGGAUGAACGCUGGCGGCGUGCCUAAUACAUGCAAGUCGAACGAGUUCUCGUUGAUGAUCGGUGCUUGCACCGAGAUUCAACAUGGAACGAGUGGCGGACGGGUGAGUAACACGUGGGUAACCUGCCCUUAAGUGGGGGAUAACAUUUGGAAACAGAUGCUAAUACCGCAUAGAUCAAAGAACCGCAUGGUUCUUGGCUGAAAGAUGGCGUAAGCUAUCGCUUUUGGAUGGACCG
rnacentral:rRNA from 1 species